rnacentral:rRNA from 1 species
AUUGAACGCUGGCGGAAUGCUUUACACAUGCAAGUCGAACGGUAGAGGGGGCAACCCCUCGAGAGUGGCGAACGGGUGAGUAAUAUAUCGGAACGUGCCCAGUCGUGGGGGAUAACGUAGCGAAAGUUACGCUAAUACCGCAUACGAUCUAAGGAUGAAAGCGGGGGAUCGCAAGACCUCGCGCGAUUGGAGCGGCCGAUAUCAGAUUAGGUAGUUGGUGGGGUAAAGGCUCACCAAGCCAACGAACUGUAGCUGGUCUGAGAGGACGACCCGACACACAGGAACUCAGACACGGUCCAGACUGCUACGGGAGGAUGCAGUGGGGAAUUCUGGACAGAGGCCCCAAGUCGUAGCCGGCCAUUCCGCUGGCAGGCAGAAGGCCCUCGGGUUGUAAACUUCUUUUGUACGGAACGAAAACGUCUCUCUUAAUACGGGGGGCUCAUAACGGUAACGUAAGAAUAAGCACCGGCUAACUACGUGCCUGCCGCCGCAGUAA